GCACAACGCGAAGAACCUUACCAAGGCUUGACAUGUAGAAGAACACCGCAGAGAUGCGGGACUCUUUGGACACUUCUAUACAGGUGGUGCAUGGUUGUCGUCAGCUCGUGUCGUGAGAUGUUCGGUUAAGUCCGGCAACGAGCGCAACCCUCGUCCUAUGUUGCCAGCACGUUAUGGUGGGAACUCAUGGGAUACUGCCGUGGUCAACACGGAGGAAGGUGGGAUGACGUCAAAUCAUCAUGCCCCUUAUGUCUUGGGCUUCACGCAUGCUACAAUGGCCGGUACAAAGGGCUGCGAUACCGUAAGGUGGAGCGAAUCCCAAAAAGCCGGUCUCAGUUCGGAUUGGGAUCUGCAACUCGACCCCAUGAAGUCGGAGUCGCUAGUAAUCGCAGAUCAGCAACGCUGCGGUGAAUACGUUCCCGGGU
rnacentral:rRNA from 1 species